rnacentral:rRNA from 1 species
UACGGAGGGUGCAAGCGUUGUCCGGAUUUAUUGGGUUUAAAGGGUGCGUAGGCGGCCGAUUAAGUCUGGGGUGAAAGCCCGUUGCUCAACAACGGAACUGCCCUGGAAACUGGUCGGCUUGAGUACAGACGAGGGUGGCGGAAUGGAUGGUGUAGCGGUGAAAUGCAUAGAUACCAUCCAGAACCCCCGAUUGCGAAGCAGCUGCCUAGACUGUAACUGACGCUGAGGCACGAAAGCGUGGGGAGCGAACAGG